rnacentral:rRNA from 1 species
AUACGGAGGAUCCGAGCGUUAUCCGGAUUUACUGGGUUUAAAGGGUGCGUAGGCGGGCGCCUAAGUCAGCGGUGAAAUGCAGCGGCUCAACCGUUGAACUGCCGUUGAAACUGGGCGCCUUGGAUGCGGUCGAGGCCGGCGGAAUGCGUGGUGUAGCGGUGAAAUGCUUAGAUAUCACGAAGAACUCCAAUUGCGAAGGCAGCUCACAGGACUGUAACUGACGCUGAUGCUCGAAAGUGUGGGUAUC